UUGCAGCCCAGCAGGGACUUUCCAGCCGGCGGCGGCGGCGGCGGCGGCGGCGGCCGCCGGCCCUUCCCCGCCCCCGACAUGGGGCUGCCCGGGAGCUGGACGCUGCAGACGACGGCGGAGGAUGCGCGCGGCGCCCCUGAGCCGGCCGAUGCGGCGGGCCGCGGGAUGAAUGACUGAUUCAUAGUCGGAGAGCUGCAGAGAGUCUGGAAGGCAGGAGGUUCUGGGAUCCAGCUGGGGCCGAGUGCACACCUUCCACCUUCGAUUAACACCAAAGGUCAGAGUGGGCUCCCCACGGGCGACUCAUUAAAACCAUCCCUGCCGCGGGGCUUGGCAGGUCCUGAGGCGCCAGGCUGUGGCUCACGUACGUUUCGCCACGUUUCCACACUGUCUUCACCCCCGGUUGGGGACGCGGGUUUCAGGGUUAGACCUUUAGAGAGAAUUCUGCGUGGAAAAUUCUUUACCUUUCAUUCGAAACGGCAGCAAAAUGCAAAUGGGGUGAAGUGCUGUGGACGUGCUCUGAAAUCUAAGCGUUCAGACGAAUGGUCGGUUGAAGGAACUGAUUUUUAAUUUUCAUGGCUUUUUGUACUGAGCUUUGACUCAGUUUUGAGAAUGAAAUAGGAGGGUGUGUGUGUGUGUGUGUGUGUGUGUGUGUGUGUGUGUGUGUGGUCUUAAAGGGUAUAUCGAGUGUUGUAUUGGCGUCUUAAUUUACAUUCACAGCAUACAAUUGAAAAGGAGCCAUAAUUUUUUUUUUGAUAGCGUUUUCUGUGACUAGAUGCCCAGGUGAAAUAUUUGGAAAUGCUGUUUUGUGUUAUCUGUAAAAUGCUUAUGUGUAGAAAUGUCCAGGUGGACCCUCAGUCGAGCUUUAAAAUCUUAACGGUGCUUUUCAGGUCUUGGAAAAUGGCCUGUUGAAAAUACUGCAUCAUUGUAGGGUGUCUGGCAAAGUAGUAUACAGCUGUCCUUUAUUCAAAGGAGAGGAAAUGUUUCCCUUUUCGCCAUAUUGUGACAUCUUAAAUAUUAAGAAUUAGUCUGAAGGUGAAAAUUCCCUGGCCAAAGCAAAUCGAACCUUUUAAGUAUGAAAACUGGGGAAUUUAUCACAGGAGACCGAAAUCCCUGUGAGUGGGAGCUGGGGAUGGAAAUCCAGACGGACCUUGGUUUCCAGCCUCACUGGCUCAGAUCAGAUCUCAUCACAGACAGGGUUUAAGAUGUCAGGUGUCUCUCCCAGACACCUCUGUUCCAGCUGUCACAUUGCAGAAGCCAGGGAAGCAGAGAGCUGGCCAGGGAGAAUCCCAGCAUCUUUGAAACAAGACAUUAAUGUGAAUUUUUCUGUGAGGGGAAAGACCAAUUGUUUGUCUUGGAUGCUAUCCGUUCCUUUUGAGUUAAUAAGAUGGCCUCGCAGAGAGGGCUGCAGAGACAUUCUGUCAGAAAGAGGUGGUAGUCAGCUGUUUCUGCUGCUACUCUUGCUGGUUUUCUGAAGAAAGUCCUUUAUUUAACUGGGUGUUUCUUGUCCCUGUCUUUGGGAUUUUUUUUUUUUUCUAAAUACUUUGCUAGAAUCACUUGGAAAUUAUCAGUGUGUCAAUCAAGAAGGACUUUCUGGGGCAUUGUCAGGAUAGAUAUGCUAAUGAGCCAAAAAGAUGAGCAUGAUUUAUCAUUCCCUUAAAAUUCUUUUUUGUAAUGCUGAAACUGUACCUCGGGAGAGAUGAAACUGUCACUGUGGUGUUGCAAACCUGAGCUAGCUCAAACACACAAAGGAAAUUGCAUUAAAUUUGUCCAUCUUUGUUUUCUCAUCUUGUGUAGUAAGACUCUCCAAACAGCAAAUGAGCUAACCUAUGAAGUAUUACACAAUAGCCCAAUUUCUUCUCAGUGGUCAAUUUCAGAAUUAUUAACAGAGAAGUCUCAUGACCUAAGGCCUUACAUGAUUUGUGGAAUCAGAGUGCCUAUAUACAUCUUUGCAAGUAUUUGCAGAAGAAAAAUCAGUUUUUUGUUGUUGUUAUUGAUGAUGUUGUGUAGGUUUAUGCUCAUCACAUUCCAGAAAGGGAGGGAAGCUGAGAUGAGAGCUAAAGUGAGAGGAGGUGAGGCCACAGGAUUUGGAAGGUGACCAGAGAGCGGCAGCCGAGGCCUGAGUAUAUGCUAUGGUGCUUAGGGUUAGAGCCAGAGUGAGGGAGGCCCAGAGGCCUGCAGCCAGGAAGGCAGUAAAGAGGUAGUUGGGGAUUGGUGUGGUCCCAGAGGAGCUAGCAGAAAGAAGAAAAUUUAAUCUUGAAAAGUAUAGAGGAAAACAUUAAAUUCAUUUGCAUAAUUUCCAUGAUUUUUUUUUUUUUUCGAGACAGGGUUUCUCUGUGUAGCUUUGGAGCCUAUCCUGGCACUUGCUUUGGAGACCAGGCUGGCCUCGAACUCACAGAGAUCCGCCUGUCUCUGCCUCCCAAGUGCUGGGAUUAAAGGCGUACGCCACCAACGCCCAGCUAAUUUCCAUGAUUGUUAAUAAAAAUAUGAAAUGCCUUUUCAUUUUGGAAAGCCUUUAUUGUUUUGCGUAUUCCAGGAAAGAACUGGGAUGAGAGGCCAGUUUAGGAAGAAGAAGGUGAGGUUCUGUCAAACAUAGAGCCUUUGUUUGGUGAAGCUUGUUGGUGCUUACAGACACGGGUCAGGUGGCAGGAGUAGGAUGUCACUCUGCAGGUGCCUGUUGGCUUCCGGCCCCUCAAGGAGUCAGAUUGGCAUUCACGCUGCACUCAGACAAGCAUAUUAUUAACCAGCACUUGGAGUCUUUCGCUCAUUUAAUUAACAUUCAGUUAAUGUGCCCAGAGUUCCCAUAAUCUAGUUACUAUGCUAGAAUGAAUGAGACACACCACCUGCUUUUAGGGGUGUGAUCUGUAGAAACCUGGGGCAUCUGGGUGUCUGUGCACAGUUAAGGGCAGUGGCAGACCCCAAGCUUUGACUGUGACACCAGGACAGGAACUUUCCAAAGGAAGAGUGAAGAAAACCCAAAUCACCAGGAAAAGCGAGGAAAGUCCACACAUGGAGAAGGAAAUGAAUUAGUGGGUUGUAUAGAAGUCUGCAAUUAUGGGGUCGGGGUUGUGUUACUGUAAGAGAAAAGCUCCUGGCUGCCUGGACUAGUCAGGGAGGCAUCUGGCACCCAGUUUACCACAAUAUUAGGAAGUCUGGUCCCACUUAUAGGGCCCUGAGAAUGGCAGCAAGAGGAUCUUCUGUGUAAGAUGAGACCUGUUAGCUUGCAGCCCUGGUGCUCCCUGCUGGUAUGUGUGAGGUUGGUAGUUCUGCAAGUCAGUUUAUUGCCUGUGCUGCCCCCCAGCUCUUUCAGGCUUUUGUGUGACUUGGAGCUGAAAUAGUCUGGUUGUCCCUGACUAAAGAGCAUGGUUUGUUGAAGGGGCUAGAGCAGUAGCACCAGUUUGGGCCAUAGAGUGUUGCUGUGCCCACUGUUUCUCUUUGUAGGUCAGGGGUUCUCAAUCUUCAAAAUGCUCAACUCUUUAAUACAUGAUGAUGACCCUCAACCAUAAAAUUAUUUUGUUGCUACUUCAUAACUGUAAUUUUGCUACACUUAAUUGUUUUUGUUUGUUUGGUUGGUUGUUUUUUCGAGACAGGGUUUCUCUGUGUAGCUCUGGAGCCUAUCCUGGCACUCGCUCUGGAGACCAGGCUGGCCUUGACCUCACAGAGAUCUGCCUGCCUCUGCCCCCUGAGUGCUGGGAUCAAAGGCAUUACUCUUAAGAAUUGUAGUGUAAAUAUCUGAUAUACUACACACAACGCGUUGGGAUCCACAUGUUGAGAAUCACUGUUGUAGGUAGAAAAUUUCAAAAAGCCAUGGUGGUGGGGAAGACAGAACACACCUCUCCUAAACCCACCACUCUGGUCCUUACUGAUGGACUUGAAACAUUUUAAUUCUCAAGAAAUGAAAUAUUGGACCCUGUGUUUAAUUUUGUAAAUUUUUUUUACUAUUAUUGUAUAAUUUGUAUUGUAUAAUACUAUUAGUGUAUAAUGGUUAGGGGGUGAGUGACACUGCGGGCAUGUAGUGUCAGAGGAUAACUUUCUGGAGUCUGUCCUGUCCUUCAUAGUCACAUGGGUUCUGUUGAUUGAGUUCAGGUGGUCACAGUUACAUCUUUGAAUGGCAAGCGUCUUUACCUACUGAGCUGUCUCACAGCCCCCAAUGUUUCAUUUCAUGGUUUCAUUUUUAAAAGAUUUGUUUCAUGUUGAUUUUAAACCAUUUGAAAAUUAACUAGAAAGCUGGUAAGAUGGCUCAGCAGGUAAGCCUGAUGACCUGAGUUCGAUCCCUGGAACUCAUGGUCAGAGGAAAGAGUUGGUAGAAGGAGAGAACAAACGGACUUUUCCGGAUUGCCCUCAGAUCUCCACUCAUGUGCCUCUGACCCUCAUAAAAAGUGUAAAGGAUAAAAAAAGCAGAGGCUAUUUAGUAACUUCUCAUGAGGACAUUUUACUAAAAAAGAGAUCAGGUACUGCCGUUCUGAUUUCCCAAUUUCCUCUCCAACUCAAACCCUGAUUACACAUCCAGGCCAUAAUGCCAUAUUAAUAAGAAUCUUGACAUCUUUUAAGUGUCGAGAAAGGCUGGGUUGAAUAACCAAGUGGGUGAAAUAUAUCUCUAGGAGUCAUGAUGGUUUUUGUUUAUUUUUGAGACAGGUUCGCCCUGUAUAGCCCAGGCUGCCCUUGAACUUAGAAUCCUCCUGCCUCAGCCUCCCUAGUGCUGAGUGAGCCACCAUGCCUGAUGAAUCAUAAUACUUUUGAUGAGGUUUCCCAAGGUUAACUUUUACUCUGGAAGGUUAAUGCCCAUUUGGAGGCCUGCUGCAUAGGAGGUAAUUAUAACUAGGUGCUUGUGACACCUCUUCUUCCACCAAGGGCAGGGUGUAUGGUAAGUGCUUGGUGAAUGCUUGUAUUCAGAUUCUGCAAGGUAGGAAGAGAAGGACAUGACUGAUGACCACAAUGUUUCACUGGGUUCCAAGUCUGUGUUGUAGUUGGGCAAACCCUAGUGCCUCCUGUGACCAUUUUCUGAAGGCCACUCUACCUUGUCCUGCUGUUCUGAUAUGUUAGCUGCAGUUACACAGUGGGAAACUACUACUCAUUGUUUUUUGAAACAGGGGCUGUUUAUAUGUAGCCACAACUUGCUGAGUUGACCAGGCUGGCCUCAAAUUCACAGAGAUCCACCUGUCUCUGUGUCUUCCUCCAGAACAGGGAUUAAAGGUGUGCCACCAAGUUUGGCAGGGAAACUUCUUUGAUACAAACUUCUAACUUUCUUGGAAGAAUGGGGAAAGGAGUUCUUGGGAGCACUUUGUCCACUAAUGCUUAGAAGUCCUGACUCUACACUGGAAAUUAUGUUCUCUGCUUUUUGGAUUAAUGCAUUCUGCUGUAGCUUUAUCAUAGGGUAAAUUAAGUGUAUAAGUUUCAGAGGGCUUUUCUCUAUGACUUUACCUCCUGUAGGAUUGGGGCAAGUGCAUGAAAUUUUAUCUUAAUGUAAAUUAUACAGUGUACUCAGUAAUCUGUUUUAAUAUAAACAUAUUUUUCUCCUAAUCUUUUAGUAGAAUUGAAUCUUCAAAAGAUUCUACCACACAUUGGAAAUACUUUUCUUCCAGGUGUUUUUUGCUGUUGUUGGGUGGUUGGCUUGUUUUUGAGACAGGGUUUCCGUGUGUUACAGCUCUGGCUGUCCUGGCACUCACUCUGUAGACCAGGCUGGCCUCAAACUCACAGAGAUCCUCCUGCCUCUGCCUCCCAAGUGCUGGGAUUAAAGGCAUGCGCCACCACCCGGCCUUUCCAGGUAUUUUGAAGAAGGAAUUUUUCAACCUGUAUUUAAUCAAACUACAUUUUUCUUCUCCUCCUCCUCCUCCUCCUUUUUUUUUUUUUUUUUUUUUUUU
ensembl:lncRNA